UAUUUUAAUUUAGAUGACUUGUUUCAAUUCCAUAGACACAGUGGUAACAGGGAGAGGAAAAAAAAAAAAACGAACAGGAAAACGCUUCCACUUAGCAGAAUUUGGGAACUAGCCUUUUGGAAAAGAAACCCUCUGUACUUAGAAAACACAGCAGUUGAAACGAUUUGCUGGAAUUUGGUCAUCCCCCAUUCCAUGUAUGAGUUUCUUUUGUAGGAUGAGAAACUGGAAAAUGACACGGCUCUUUCUACCAAUAAGCGGGUCAUUAACCCCUCAGCUUGGUUUGAAAUUCCUCAGCUUUUGUUAUUGACAUUGGUUCUUAGUCAACACUCCUCACACUCUAUAUUUCAAAUAGUCAGUUCUUUUCAUUCUAUUUUUAGUUCUAACCCUUUUUCCCUGCCCCUACCUUCCACCAAAAUUUGAAGAUUGGAUUUCAUUUCAAGUGUGCAAUUCCCAGCUGAAGGCCCACUGAGAUCUUCUUGCUCCCUGGUUUUCUGGUGGGAAAAUGCAUUUUCCCUCUCUCUGAGCGGGGACACCACCAACACCUUCCUGACUGUUCACACAGGAUAUCAGAGGAAACGCCGCCUGGGAAGGAGAGGGCCUGUGCUUUCUGAGCAGCGAUGGUGGCCCGCUGGCCUCCCCUGAAGCUUCUCAUGGCGAGUCCCGUGAUGUGAGCUGGCAGCAGGAACCUGUCAUCAGCUCCACACAGCAGGACCUUCGAGCAACUUCCUCCUUGCACAUGCAGCUGUUCCCGAGUUAGAGUCAUUUAUGCCUCUGCCAUCACGGUUCCCAUUGGCUGCUAGCAGCAGGAAUUCCCUAAGUAUCUCUUACUCCAAAUGCUCUCAUGAGAAUGUCCAGCAGCUAUCGUCAUGUGGAACUUGAUAGGGUUCUCUGUGCUUCUCCCAGCACUCUGCCUCUAAGUCAUUUGUGACAUCCAUGGACACCUAGGGAGCUCAGGGCCACUCCAGAGGGCAACCUCAGCCCAGUCCCACACUGAGCCCGGCGGUGGUGGUGGUGGUGGAGGUACCUUGUUACCAAGCACUUUUGAUGAGUAUCAUUUGUUCAUUCAUUCAUUCAACAACUGUUCACUGAAUAUCAAUUAUGUGCCAGACACUCUGUUACGUAGUAGUGAUUCCCAAAGGAAUUUAAAAGUUGGCUGAGACUCUGAGGAGAAGACUAGUAUGAAAGAUCCAACUUAAAAUAAAAGCAAAACAAACAAUAAAAUUGGUUAGGUAACAGAAAUGUGUUUAGACAAACCAGAGGGAGCAAAGAUUAAUUCCUGCUCUAUGGGCCUCCCAUCUUCCUGGAGGAGGUGGCUGUCCGGUCCUUCUUUUGGAACAAAGCUGGAGAGAGAACAAGAAUAGCAUGGCCCAAGGCACAGAUAUAUUGAUCAGCCUGCCAGGUUUUCAGUAUUGUUAGAAUAUGAGUUUCCAGGGACAGUGAUGGUGUAGGAGCUAAUGCUAGACAGGAAGACAAAGGUCAUGUUGUGAUGGGCGCUCCACAGCCUUUGCUGAGAAAUUUGUAUAUAUUCUAUGAUACUCUUCCUGCAAGAAAGAAAGAGAAAUAUUGACUCUACCUUGAAAAGGAAAGCCUGAGAACAGAGAGUUGCCUCUACAACCCCGGCACCCCCGCACAUCAUCUGAAGGGCCAUGUUUUCACACUGCUUGCUGUUCUAGCACAAAUACCCCCACCCAAGAGAAUAACAUGGAAGGCAAAACCCUGACAAAACACGAGGAAGGAUUGACAGGGCUGAAUAUCAACAUUGUUUCAUCUCUAAUGAAGUAAGGGAUCCAGGCAUUGCUGGAUCUAUCGAUGUCUGCUAAUUUCAAACACAAGACAGGCAAAAGGACAUUAUGUGCCUAGUAUCACCGAUGGAUUUUCUUGCUAAAAGUUUGGACUUGGAUCUGAUCAAGCAUCUAGAUUUGUAGGAAAUAUAGAGUGUACAAUCAAUAAAAUCUGGAAUAUGUAAAAUUCUGC